GCGGCAUGCCUUACACAUGCAAGUCGAACGGUAACAGGUCUUCGGAUGCUGACGAGUGGCGAACGGGUGAGUAAUACAUCGGAACGUGCCCAGUAAUGGGGGAUAGCUCGGCGAAAGCCGGAUUAAUACCGCAUACGCCCUGAGGGGGAAAGUGGGGGAUCGCAAGACCUCACGUUAUUGGAGCGGCCGAUGGCUGAUUAGCUAGUUGGUAGGGUAAAGGCCUACCCAGGCGACGAUCAGUAGCUGGUCUGAGAGGACGAUCAGCCACACUGGGACUGAGACACGGCCCAGACUCCUACGGGAGGCAGCAGUGGGGAAUUUUGGACAAUGGGGGAAACCCUGAUCCAGCAAUGCCGCGUGUGCGAAGAAGGCCUUCGGGUUGUAAAGCACUUUUGUCAGGGAAGAAAUCCUUUGGGCUAAUACCCUAGGGGGAUGACGGUACCUGAAGAAUAAGCACCGGCUAACUACGUGCCAGCAGCCGCGGUAAUACGUAGGGUGCAAGCGUUAAUCGGAAUUACUGGGCGUAAAGCGUGCGCAGGCGGUUGUGUAAGACAGGUGUGAAAUCCCCGGGCUUAACCUGGGAAUUGCGUUUGUGACUGCACGACUAGAGUGUGUCAGAGGGGGGUGGAAUUCCACGUGUAGCAGUGAAAUGCGUAGAUAUGUGGAGGAACACCAAUGGCGAAGGCAGCCCCCUGGGAUAACACUGACGCUCAUGCACGAAAGCGUGGGGAGCAAACAGGAUUAGAUACCCUGGUAGUCCACGCCCUAAACGAUGUCAACUAGUUGUUGGGGAUUUACUUCCUUGGUAACGUAGCUAACGCGUGAAGUUGACCGCCUGGGGAGUACGGCCGCAAGGUUAAAACUCAAAGGAAUUGACGGGGACCCGCACAAGCGGUGGAUGAUGUGGAUUAAUUCGAUGCAACGCGAAAAACCUUACCUACCCUUGACAUGGCAGGAACUUUCCAGAGAUGGAUUGGUGCUCGAAAGAGAACCUGCACACAGGUGCUGCAUGGCUGUCGUCAGCUCGUGUCGUGAGAUGUUGGGUUAAGUCCCGCAACGAGCGCAACCCUUGUCAUUAGUUGCUACGAAAGGGCACUCUAAUGAGACUGCCGGUGACAAACCGGAGGAAGGUGGGGAUGACGUCAAGUCCUCAUGGCCCUUAUGGGUAGGGCUUCACACGUCAUACAAUGGUCGGUACAGAGGGUUGCCAAGCCGCGAGGUGGAGCCAAUCCCAGAAAACCGAUCGUAGUCCGGAUCGCAGUCUGCAACUCGACUGCGUGAAGUCGGAAUCGCUAGUAAUCGCGGAUCAGAAUGCCGCGGUGAAUACGUUCCCGGGUCUUGUACACACCGCCCGUCACACCAUGGGAGUGGGUUCUACCAGAAGUGGCUAGUCUAACCGCAAGGAGGACGGUCACCACGGUAGGAUUCAUGACUGGGGUGAAGUCAUAAC
rnacentral:rRNA from 1 species